GCCAGCUGCAUAAGCAAUUGUGUAGCUUAAUUUGCCUAAGGGGCCCCCUGGCAGUAGGAUCAGGAUCCAUCCCUGGCGCAUGAGCAGGCUUUUCAGAGCCCACUACCCAUGGUGGGACACCUCACACAGCCUUUGGGGGAGGGGCUUGGACCUGCCUCUACUGAAUGUGCCAGGCUCUGCUGACUCCCCAU